rnacentral:misc_RNA from 1 species
GAUGAAGAACGUAGCGAAAUGCGAUAAGUAAUGUGAAUUGCAGAAUUCAGUGAAUCAUCGAAUCUUUGAACGCACAUUGCGCCCGCCAGUAUUCUUGCGGGCAUGCCUGUUCGAGCGUCAUUUCAACCAUCAAGCCCCCGGCUUGUGUUGGGGACCUGCGGCUGCCGCAGGCCCUGAAAAGCAGUGGCGGGCUCGCUGUCACACCGAGCGUAGUAGCAUACAUCUCGCUCUGGGCGUGCUGCGGGUUCCGGCCGUUAAACCACCUUCAUAACCCAAGGUUGACCUCGGAUCAGGUAGGAAGACCCGCUGAAUUUAAGCAUAUCAAUAAGCGGAGGA